rnacentral:rRNA from 1 species
CAAUAGCGUAUAUUAAAGUUGUUGCAGUUAAAAAGCUCGUAGUUGAAUUUUUGCUUGCCGCCGAUGUCGGAACUUCCGUACGUUCGGCGGCGUGCAUCCUUGGGUGGAACCUGUGUGGCAUUAGGUUGUCGUGCAGGGGAUGCUCAUCGUUUACUGUGAAAAAAUUAGAGUGUUCAAAGCAGGCUUACGCCGUUGAAUAUAUUAGCAUGGAAUAAUAAGAUAGGACCUUGGUACUAUUUUGUUGGUUUGCGCACCGAGGUAAUGAUUAACAGGGACAGUUGGGGGUAUUCGUAUUCCAUUGUCAGAGGUGAAAUUCUUGGAUUUCUGGAAGACGAACUACCGCGAAAGCAUUUACCAAGGAUGUUUUCAUUA